AGGUCAAAGGAACAGCAGCAUUAAUUGGCUGUGGCCACAGGACCCUGAAGGAUUUAAAGACAAAGAUGAUUUCAUCUCUGCUGAUGGUGUGCUGGUGCGAGUAUGAAAUGGUAACAUUGGUUUGGAAAACUGGCAGUCUCUACAUAAGGUUGCUCUCCCUGAGGCCAUAUCCGUGUACUCCCACCCACUGUUAGCCCCCAGGAUCCGCGUCAGUGCCAAGCCCCAGAUUCUCUGUUCCUUGCUCAAGGAGGUGUGUCAGAAACAGGCAAAGAUACUCCAAUGCUGACAAGCCUUACGGAUGCUUUCAUACUACUGUAUGACCGGGACAUUUCUCGGCAAAAUAAAUGCUAUGCUGGUGGUAUAAAUGAACAUAUAUAUUAAACAUGUGUCAGAGGGCUCACAGAUGUGAAGUGGCCAACCUGAAACUCAGUUUAUAAAUGUUGCAAAAUGGGG